rnacentral:rRNA from 1 species
ACUCGAGUGGCGAACGGGUGAGUAACACGUGGGUGAUCUGCCCUGCACUUUGGGAUAAGCCUGGGAAACUGGGUCUAAUACCGAAUACACCUUGCUGGAUGCAUGUCUGGUGGGGGAAAGCUUUUGCGGUGUGGGAUGGGCCCGCGGCCUAUCAGCUUGUUGGUGAGGUUACGGCUCACCAAGGCGACGACGGGUAGCCGGCCUGAGAGGGUGUCCGGCCACACUGGGACUGAGAUACGGCCCAGACUCCUACGGGAGGCAGCAGUGGGGAAUAUUGCACAAUGGGCGCAAGCCUGAUGCAGCGACGCCGCGUGAGGGAUGACGGCCUUCGGGUUGUAAACCUCUUUCGCCAGGGACGAAGCGCAAGUGACGGUACCUGGAGAAGAAGCACCGGCCAACUACGUGCCAGCAGCCGCGGUAAUACGUAGGGUGCGAGCGUUGUCCGGAAUUACUGGGCGUAAAGAGCUCGUAGGUGGUUUGUCGCGUUGUUCGUGAAAACUCACAGCUUAACUGUGGGCGUGCGGGCGAUACGGGCAGACUGGAGUACUGCAGGGGAGACUGGAAUUCCUGGUGUAGCGGUGGAAUGCGCAGAUAUCAGGAGGAACACCGGUGGCGAAGGCGGGUCUCUGGGCAGUAACUGACGCUGAGGAGCGAAAGCGUGGGGAGCGAACAGGAUUAGAUACCCUGGUAGUCCACGCCGUAAACGGUGGGUACUAGGUGUGGGUUUCCUUCCUUGGGAUCCGUGCCGUAGCUAACGCAUUAAGUACCCCGCCUGGGGAGUACGGCCGCAAGGCUAAAACUCAAAGAAAUUGACGGGGGCCCGCACAAGCGGCGGAGCAUGUGGAUUAAUUCGAUGCAACGCGAAGAACCUUACCUGGGUUUGACAUGCACAGGACGCUGGUAGAGAUAUCAGUUCCCUUGUGGCCUGUGUGCAGGUGGUGCAUGGCUGUCGUCAGCUCGUGUCGUGAGAUGUUGGGUUAAGUCCCGCAACGAG